rnacentral:tRNA from 1 species
GGGUUGUAAGUGAUGAAGAUGAUUAACCUUUUAUUUUUUCUCAGUUCCCUCUUAAUCAAUUGGUCCAAGGUUCGAAUCCUUGACGGCCCACCA